ACAUCCAGAGAACUUAGCAGAGAUGCUUUGGUGCCUUCGGGAACUCUGAGACAGGUGCUGCAUGGCUGUCGUCAGCUCGUGUUGUGAAAUGUUGGGUUAAGUCCCGNAACGAGCGCAACCCUUAUCCUUUGUUGCCAGCGAUUCGGUCGGGAACUCAAAGGAGACUGCCGGUGAUAAACCGGAGGAAGGUGGGGAUGACGUCAAGUCAUCAUGGCCCUUACGGCCAGGGCUACACACGUGCUACAAUGGCGCAUACAAAGAGAAGCGACCUCGCGAGAGCAAGCGGACCUCAUAAAGUGCGUCGUAGUCCGGAUUGGAGUCUGCAACUCGACUCCAUGAAGUCGGAAUCGCUAGUAAUCGUAGAUCAGAAUGCUACGGUGAAUACGUUCCCGGGCCUUGUACACACCGCCCGCCACACCAUGGGAGUGGGUUGCAAAAGAAGUAGGUAGCUUAACCUUCGGGAGGGCGCUUACCACUUUGUGAUUCAUGACUGGGGUGAAGUCGUAACAAGGUAAGCGUACGUGU
rnacentral:rRNA from 1 species